rnacentral:lncRNA from 1 species
UUCCAUAUAUACUCGCCUAGAGAAGGUUAGCCACAAAGAGACUCGGAAAAGAUCAGUCGAGGCGCUGACUCAGCUCUCAGCACACAACUUAAAUCUAGUCUUGGAUACAAUGCUCACUUAUCCUCUCCCAUAUGAAAAUGGUGUGUCAGGUACAUGGCGUAAUUUAGGUCACGAUCCAAAACUUUGUGAGUCUUCUUUAGAGCAUCUGAAGCAGAUUAUGGAGCGCACCCAGCUGUUUACUGAGCAGCCUACCGCUACUGAUUCUACUGUCAGGAUUGCAACUCUUCCUCCUCUCUCAGCUAUUUGUGGUCUUACUGACCUCAUUCCUGACCU